rnacentral:rRNA from 1 species
UGGGGAAUAUUGGACAAUGGGCGAAAGCCUGAUCCAGCCAUGCCGCGUGUGUGAAGAAGGUCUUCGGAUUGUAAAGCACUUUAAGCUGGGAGGAAGGGCAGUAAGCGAAUACCUUGCUGUUUUGACGUUACCGACAGAAUAAGCACCGGCUAACUCUGUGCCAGCAGCCGCGGUAAUACAGAGGGUGCAAGCGUUAAUCGGAAUUACUGGGCGUAAAGCGGGCGUAGGUGGUUCGUUAAGUUGAAUGUGAAAGCCCCGGGCUCAACUUGGGAACUGCAUCCGAAACUGGAGGGCUAGAGUAGGGCAGAGGGGGGUGGAAUUUCCCGUGUAGCAGUGAAAUGCGUAGAGAUAGGAAGGAACACCAGUGGCGAAGGCGACCACCUGGGAUAAUACUGACACUGAGGUGCGAAAGCGUGGGGAGCAAACAGG